rnacentral:lncRNA from 1 species
AUGUCCGCAUGGUCCAAGGUCAUCCUGGGUUCAGAUGUCAGUAAGAGGAUCUACUUGACGAAAUCUCCAAGGCAAGAACAUCCCAAGGAAUCUUGGCUUCUCAAGGCUGCAGAGGCUGUGUAUCCUCUACUGAAAACUGUGGCAAUUUUGGGCACUCAUCUGCUGGCUGGUAAAUUAUUUCAAAAAAGAAGCCUCAAACCCUACUUUUCCUACCCCUAA